UACGAAGGGGGCAAGCGUUGUUCGGAUUUACUGGGCGUAAAGGGAGCGUAGGUGGUUAGGUAAGCCCUCCGGGAAAUCUUCAGGCUUAACCUGAAAAGGUCGGGGGGGACUGCCUGGCUAGAGGACGGGAGAGGAGCGCGGAAUUCCCGGUGUAGCGGUGAAAUGCGUAGAGAUCGGGAGGAAGGCCGGUGGCGAAGGCGGCGCUCUGGAACGUUUCUGACACUGAGGCUCGAAAGCGUGGGGAGCAAACAGG
rnacentral:rRNA from 1 species